UUCUAGCCAAGUGGACAUGGCAUCUGCCCGGUAAGCGGAACGUUGUGGGUUCGAUUCCCGCCCCUGGACAC
rnacentral:tRNA from 1 species